CCUGAAAGAGAAGCAAGACAAAGUGACAGAUGUCA
rnacentral:sRNA from 1 species